rnacentral:rRNA from 1 species
UACGAGAGGCCCAAAGCGUUAUUCGGAAUUACUGGGCUUAAAGAGUUCGUAGGCGGCAUGAAAAGUAGGGUGUGAAAGCCCUCGGCUCAACCGAGGAAUUGCGCUACUAAACUGUCGUGCUCGAGGGAACCUAGAGGUGAGCAGAACAGAUGGUGGAGCGGUGAAAUGCGUUGAUAUCAUCUGGAAUACCGGAGGCGAAGGCGGCUCACUGGGGGUUUCUGACGCUGAGGAACGGAAAGCCAGGUAGCGAACGGG